AACGAACGCUGGCGGCAGGCUUAACACAUGCAAGUCGAGCGCCCCGCAAGGGGAGCGGCAGACGGGGGAGUAACGCGUGGGAAUCUACCCAUCUCUAGGGAAUAAUGCAUGGAAACGUGUGCUAAUACCGUAUACGUCCUUCGGGAGAGAGAUUUAUCGGAGAUGGAUGAGCCCGCGUUGGAUUAGCUAGUUGGUGGGGUAAAGGCCUACCAAGGCGACGAUCCAUAGCUGGUCUGAGAGGAUGAUCACCCACACUGGGACUGAGCCACGGCCCAGACUCCUACGGGAGGCAGCAGUGGGGAAUAUUGGACAAUGGGCGCAAGCCUGAUCCAGCCAUGCCGCGUGAGUGAUGAAGGCCCUAGGGUUGUAAAGCUCUUUCACCGGUGAAGAUAAUGACGGUAACCGGAGAAGAAGCCCCGGCUAACUUCGUGCCAGCAGCCGCCGUAAAAC
rnacentral:rRNA from 1 species